rnacentral:lncRNA from 1 species
UUUGUCUCUUUUCUAGAGUAGUAUAUAUUGGGGUCCACUAAAACUGGGAAUUCUCAGGUUUAUUUGAUCCACCCAGACAGACAAGCUUAGAACAUCAACGCAGACAAUGCGGAAAAUGCGAGACAUGUGAUCCGCAUACAGGUCACAAGGAUUGUAUGAUCAUAAUCAUCUAACUAAUUUUCUCGUCCAAACUAACAUAUAUAUAAAAACAUAAACAGGGAUCAGGUACGAAAUUAACUCCAACUCUCGUAAUCUACUCCCUCUGGGAGUGCUUGCUGGUACUCCACGGCCGUUGUGUACGCGUCUUGUUUGUGCUUUGCCAUCUUGCUCUGCCGUUUGUCACCAGAUCCUACUCUAAUUUCCUCUGCUGAACUAAAUCCUCACUAUUUUCACCGAACAUAAUUUGUAAAGCAUACAACACCAUUGUUAUAACAAAAGACAAUAAAAUUGAAAUUAAAGAUGAAAAAAAAAUGUUCUAACACGCUAACAAUUUAAUACAUCAACUUAACUAUAUUUAAGAAAUUAUGAAGAAGUAAUAUGUUCAAAUUAAUGCACACACUUAUAAUCUCAACAUUAUUCUCAGAAAAUGUGAAAUGAAUAUAUAUUGUUCAUUAUGUCUUUUUUUUCUCUCCUUUGACCAUACAUUCUAUAUCAUUUCAUCGUCAUCUUCUGGAACAAUAAUUUCUUUUUACACAAUAGAUGAAAUUAUUUACCACAUUUGCAGGAAUUAACUAGAAAAAUAAAAAAAAUAUAAUCAAUGAUUAGUAAAGAAGAUAAUGACAAAUAUGGUGAAAAAAGGACCCAAAAAAAUGAUGCCACUUUUCAAUGGUUAACUCACCAAUGUUUGUCUUCCGAUGACAUCAACAUGAGAUUGUAUUUUAUCCCAUCUCCAGUAAAACUCAAUGCUGACAAAAAUCUUUAUUUUCUUGAAAAAAUACAUUCUAUUAACAUCUUGUGUGCCCUCUCAAGAUUAGCGCAUAAAAGCGUCUAGUUUUUUUGGUUAGAGCAGACAUGUGAGCUCUGCUAGGGUUUCUAGAAAAGGAGUGGCUGAUAAUACAGUUGAGGAGAGGGACCUCCUCCAAAGAAGCACGAAGAAGAUUAAAGAUGGUGCUAGACAUAUAAGAGUGAAUCUUCGAAAUCAUAUGCGAAUAAACUGCAUCAUCCAAUGGGGGGUGCAGAUGGUGUGGGAGUGGAGAUAGAAAAGGAAGUCGAUGAUAACGAGACAAUUUCUAGGGAUGGACCAAGUAUCCCACUAUCGUAUGUAGAGUUAUUCAGAUGACCAUUCAUGGCUUAACACCUUGGUACGUGGUUAAUGUGUUGGAAAGGAGGGCGAAUUUUCAUCUCAUUGAAGCAAAGAUUCAGAGGAGCUGGACAACAUUCAAAUUAUUGAUCUAUACGAUGGUUUCUACUAGGUGGUUUUCAGUAGUCAAGAGGAUUAUAAUUUGGCUCUUUAUGGGAAACCAUGGAUGGUCGCUGACCACUAUCAAAUUGCUCAACGAUGGAAACCAUUCUUUUUAAUGAAUGAGGAAACGACCAAGCAUGUGGCGGUUGGUUUAGGAUUCAGUGAUUGCCUAUUGAGCUCUAUAAUAAUGUCUUCUUGAAGAGGAUUGGUGAUAACUUGGGGAAGUUUUUGAAGGUGGUUAGACUUAUGUCUAUAAUAUAGACUCUAUUAUAGUCACAUGGAAAGUUUGCGAGGAUUUGCAUUGAAUUGGAUUUAGACAUGCCUCUAGUUCCUCAUAUUUAGAUCAGGGGAUACAAACUGAAUUUGGAGUAUGAAGGCCUCCAUUCAAUUUGUUUCCAAUGUGGUCGUUUUGGCCAAAAGAAGGAUCACUGUGUAGAACAGGUGGGGGUGGAGAUGAGGCUCAGUCAGGGAGAAUAGUGGUGAUGUCCAACAGGUGGUGGAGGACUUACAAAACAAGAAGGUACAGAAUAAGGCUGAUGUCAGUCCUAUUGGAGGACCCAGGCAGAAUAAUGGAAAUAAAUGAGGAAGGAAGCAGUUUUGGCAAGUGGAUGAUUGUCCAACGGUCUAUCAUGAGGAAAAAAGGAAACCUUACAAAAAAGAAGGAAGAUUUGGGUGGAGGACAGAUAAAAGGAAAUGUAUCUAAGAUUCCUGUUGGUGGCAAUAAAUUCGGGAUUCUGGUGGAAAAUAACAAUGAUAAGGAGAUAUCAUUAUUGGAUAAUGGGGGCAUUCUGACUAAAAGUGAUGAUGCAG